rnacentral:rRNA from 1 species
GACAGAGGGUGCAAACGUUGUUCGGAAUUACUGGGCGUAAAGCGCGUGUAGGCGGUUAUGCAAGUCGGGUGUGAAAGCCCGGAGCUCAACUCCGGAAGUGCAUUCGAUACUGCGUAGCUAGAGUACUGGAGAGGAUGGUGGAACUCUCGGUGUAGAGGUGAAAUUCGUAGAUAUCGAGAAGAACACCGGUGGCGAAGGCGGCCUUCUGGACAGCAACUGACGCUGAGACGCGAAAGCUAGGGGAGCAAACGGG